GCCAGGUUGCAGAGGCACACUCUCAAAUCCGCCUUCAGUGAAACCACAGAAAUAUCCAAAUACUACACAUGGGGGCUUUUUUUCCCCUUCCCUGAGAAUCAGCUGGUAAUUUACUGGCAUGUCACUGCAUAUAAACAAAAUCCAAGAGGAAUCAGUUAACCUGCUGGACUGAACAAGGAGUUUGGCAUAAAACUGGCCAGAUAAACAGAUAAGGCUGAUUGUGUUAUGUCUCCCUUCCUUAAUGGAAGCCUGAUAGGAAUGAGGCCCACGGUGACUCAGCAGUUAGUUCCCUUUACUGCGUAGCCUUGGAAGUAAUGGAGUGGGCUUUCAUGAUUUUGCUUCUUUCUUCUUUUCCACUGAAAUGGAGGCCUUCAGUUGCAAAGUUCUCCAUUGUCAGAUUACGCUGCCUGAUGGGCAUGAAAAGUCCACAAAAGAGAAUUUUCUGAUGUGAGAAUGGAGGGUGUUGCCUGCAACUACCCCAGAUCCCUGCGGUGGCAGUUUAAGCCGCCUCCUGGAGCAGAUUGUUAAGCUGAUGCGAGUCUGGGCUCUGCCUCACCACUUGUCUCAGAGAAUGUCCAGUGCUAGGAGACUCAUAAGUUGGAGAGAAACGGCCUGAUUUAUAGAAACUGAGCGAGACUCCGGACCACCUGAUGCAGAGAAACCUGUGACCUGAAAAAGUCUAUUUGUGUUUCCUCUAGGAAUCUCGGCCAAGAAGACAGGGACAAGCUCCCAACUCUGACUACCCCUUUUACAGGGAAAAAAAAAAAAUCCCGUGCCUUCUUUGCAGCAAGUGACAAAUCCUUGUCAUAUCGAGA
rnacentral:lncRNA from 1 species